UAUCUCUGCUUCUUAGUGGGUGUGAGAAGCAGGGCUGGGAACUGAGCCAGACUGCUGGUGAUUAGGGCCUCCUUGAAGGAAGGUAGACCUGAAGUGGGACUAUCCUUUAAUUUCAUUUGCAUCACCUCAUCUGUUGGUGCUGGGGUUGACUGCUGCCUUUCAGCAUCCCUCUGGGAAGCUCUGAAAAGGAAAUACUAGAUCUCCACAGAAGGAAAAGAUUGGAAGGCUCAUCUGGCCAUGGGGAGAAGGAGGCUGAAGGGGGCAGAGCAGGUAUUCUCUGGCAUGGCCUCAGACAGUAAGGAGGUUUCACCCAGGAAGAGGAGAUGAAUCCAAGAGAACUGGAGGACCUUUCCUUUAGGCAAAGGACUGAGACCAUGCCAAAGUACCCUUCAGUAAGAGGAGACACUAAAUCUGAAGGUUUGACAUGUAUAGCGAUGGAGCUUAUUAUGAGAUUACCAUUCCGCAGCAACAGACUGGAGACAAGAUCUCAAUGAGGUACAGAAGAACACAGACAAUAUAUGAAAAGAAUUCAGCUUCUAGAUGAGGUUAGCAUUGGCACAGCUGUAUGUUUAUAUCCAAUAGCUCAGGUAGCUUGGCAUUGUAGAGUGGAAUAGAAUCAAUGCUCAUUGGGUCUAUGCAG